rnacentral:rRNA from 1 species
GAACGGUAAGGCCCUUCGGGGUACACGAGUGGCGAACGGGUGAGUAACACGUGGGUGAUCUGCCCUGCACUUUGGGAUAAGCCUGGGAAACUGGGUCUAAUACCGAAUACACCUUGCUGGCUGCAUGGCCUGGUGGGGGAAAGCUUUUGCGGUGUGGGAUGGGCCCGCGGCCUAUCAGCUUGUUGGUGGGGUGAUGGCCUACCAAGGCGACGACGGGUAGCCGGCCUGAGAGGGUGUCCGGCCACACUGGGACUGAGAUACGGCCCAGACUCCUACGGGAGGCAGCAGUGGGGAAUAUUACACAAUGGGCGCAAGCCUGAUGCAGCGACGCCGCGUGGGGGAUGACGGCCUUCGGGUUGUAAACCUCUUUCACCAGGGACGAAGCGGAAGUGACGGUACCUGGAGAAGAAGCACCGGCCAACUACGUGCCAGCAGCCGCGGUAAUACGUAGGGUGCGAGCGUUGUCCGGAAUUACUGGGCGUAAAGAGCUCGUAGGUGGUUUGUCGCGUUGUUCGUGAAAACCGGGGGCUUAACCCUCGGCGUGCGGGCGAUACGGGCAGACUUGAGUACUGCAGGGGAGACUGGAAUUCCUGGUGUAGCGGUGGAAUGCGCAGAUAUCAGGAGGAACACCGGUGGCGAAGGCGGGUCUCUGGGCAGUAACUGACGCUGAGGAGCGAAAGCGUGGGGAGCGAACAGGAUUAGAUACCCUGGUAGUCCACGCCGUAAACGGUGGGUACUAGGUGUGGGUUUCCUUCCUUGGGAUCCGUGCCGUAGCUAACGCAUUAAGUACCCCGCCUGGGGAGUACGGCCGCAAGGCUAAAACUCAGAGAAAUUGACGGGGGCCCGCACAAGCGGCGGAGCAUGUGGAUUAAUUCGAUGCAACGCGAAGAACCUUACCUGGGUUUGACAUGCACAGGACGUGUCUAGAGAUAGGCAUUCCCUUGUGGCCUGUGUGCAGGUGGUGCAUGGCUGUCGUCAGCUCGUGUCGUGAGAUGUU